UCUAACAAGAGCAGCAAGAAUGUUGCUGUUAGAGACUUUUGUUCUGGCUAUGGUUUGCUCCUAUGGCUCCUCACAAGUGCGUCCGACCCAGCCUCAACUGUCCAUCACCAGGGAAGGAAAUAAAGCCAUACGAAUUGACUGCCGUGUUUCUCUAUCGGAGGAUUUUGGCAAGGCUCCUAUACACUGGUACAGACAGAGACCCGGUGCAGCUCCAGAACGGAUUCUGUUCAUCUCAACACAGUCUGAAUUUGACAGAGUCUCGGAUAAAGGAAAGUUUAAUGCUGAAAAGAAGAUUGACCAGUCUACCUGUACCCUGACUAUAAACAAAAUAACCUCCAGUGACAUUGCUACUUACUAUUGUGCCUAUUGGGAUCGCACAGUGUUAGAAAACAUUAGACAGCCUGUACAAAAACCCACUCUGCAUUCUGAGCCACAGCCUUUUGCAUGUAUGAGGCCACUGUCACCUCCCUUAAAAUUCCUCUCAGCCUGGAGCCAGCGGCAGAAACUCUUCAUUGGCUUCUGCAACUAGAUAUGAACAGCAACUGCUGAUUUAGUGCGUAUUUUCCAAAUAAAUCACUAAGACCGGGUCAGGUCUAGCAGAACACGAGGUCACCUAGGGAACACAAGGGAGUUAGGCACCCAAUCUCGUUACAAGUCAAUGGGAGUUGUGUGUUUGGCCUUGGCCUUUUAAAAAAAAAAAAUUUUCCCUCUGAAUAUUAGGUGAAGCCG